rnacentral:tRNA from 1 species
AUUUAUAUAGUUUAAUUAAAACAUUACAUUUUCAUUGUAAAAUUAGAAAAUAUCUUAUAAAUA